rnacentral:lncRNA from 1 species
AUUAUUGCAAAAUUAGACAUAAAAAAACAAACAGUACUAGGCAGAAAGAAUCUUUUAUUUCAGAAAAGAAAUGUAGACCAGUUGACAAUGGUUGAAAACAUCAACUUAAGUUGUGAUGUAGACUAGUUGACAAAGGCCAAAAAUGCUUCCUUUCUCAAUUCAGUAAUGAAUAUUUAUAGAUCUACAUCAAUGUCCAUUCAUAUAGAUCUAUAAAUAUUCACCAGUGAAUUAAAUUUAAAGUAUGCAUAAAUAAUUAAUGAAUAUAAACAAAAACAUAUUGACAAGUCCAUCUAUUGUUACCAUUGAUUGUUACUUAUAAGUCUUCUUUCAGAAAGUAGGAUAAAAAUAAGAUCACUAUCAUGCAUAUCUGUUGAUGUUCCUCAUUAAUAACUUUUGAAUUAAUUAACACGUUGACGGACAAGGUGGCUGUAGCAGUCAUCUUAAAAUCUGAUAUGCGUGCCAUGACAGCUAUAGCCAUCACGCUUUCAGAUAAGUUGUGGCUAGACGACUGCAGCCGUCGAUUUUUCCAUUUAAUAGUAUGUGUAUUGAUGCUUUGUGUCACACUGUAUAUUUGUUUAUAUACUAUAGUAUCACAAUUGAUCACUUUUACCAGGCUUUGUUUUGCAAAUUAGAAUUUGUUUGUUUUGAUGUAUCUAACAACAGAAAUACUGGUAUCUCACAGUCUUUUCGAAUGCUCUCAUAUGAAGAAAUUCUCGUUGUUCAUAAAUUAAUUAUUUUAUGUAAUUUAGCAAUAAGAAUAUAUAUAAAGUAAGUACGUACAAAAGUUAGUGUACAAUUUCUUUAUAAAAUAUUUACAAAUAAAUUUAGGAUAAAAUAUGAGUAAUGAAAAAGAAGAAGCACAUUUAAUGAAGCUAUUUGAAGAUGUUUCUACUCCAGAAUGUUCUAGUGAAAGUGAAUAUGAACCAGAUGAAUCAGAGCAUUCAUCAAUUGAUGAUGGUAAUGUUGCUGAGGCAGAUGAUGCCAGCGAUACCACAGAAGAUGAAGAAGAUGCCGUUGAUCAAUGUGUGAAUACGACUUGCAAUAAAAACAAAUAUAAACAAUAUAAAAAAAGUAUGGCGAUAAAAUAAUAAAUUUAGCAAAAUACAGCUUUUUGUAAAAUAAUGACUUCGACGUCUUCAACCAUCCAUGUCACUUAUUGUCACAAUAUUAGCAUUUGAUAUGACAUGACGGUUAUUUCGGCAUCUUAAUUAAAGCCAUUAAUUAAUAAGAUUAAUAAAAAUUAAAGUUUUAUUCAUCGAUCAAAUAAAAAUUCUAAUGUCAAGCUAAAAAUUUUCUAGUGUCAAAAUUUGAACUAACAAAAAUAUUAUGUGUCCGUCAACAUGUUAAUAAAAUUUCAUGAAAUUUGGUAGUAAUGUUCUCCAUUAAAGGAUAUCUCAAAUCCUGUAUCAAAUCAGUCCUGCAGGAUUGUUUUGAUACAGGACUAAAUGCAAUCCUGUAGGAUUGUUUAAUUUUAU